GAUGAUGUAGCUCAGUGAUAGAGUGCUUGCCUAGUGUACACAAGACCUUGGGUUCAAUCCCCAGUCUCAUUC
rnacentral:tRNA from 1 species